AGGGGAGUGUCGCCGCCCCUUCGUCUCCUCCCCGUGCGACUCUCGGCAAACUUUUAACUCCUUUACCAGUGAAUUGUUCCACGCCUACCUCUGCUGCCCCGACCCUUAGUGGCACCAGGAGCGACGCAGUGCUGUAUCUAACCCUCCCUUUGCGAUGCUUUUACUGAGAUAUCGUUCAAAAUAAUAAGAAAAACGCGACAAGGACCCCUGCCACAAAGGACACGCAACAAAGGCCCCUGGGGAAUACUGCAAUAAGAACGUUGUAAUUAUCACGGCGAGACAUCACAAGAGGAGGAGGAAGAUAAUUCAAAGUGUAAUAAACAGAGUUGCUUCUUCUGUGUCCUCGAGAGAGAGAGCAAGAGAGAGAGAGAGUGUGAGGGAAAAGACACGGAAAAGAGGAAGAGAAAAGGGUGAAAAGGAAAGACUUACGACAACUCCCUAACUCCGUGUGGUUCUGCCAAGACACCUGUGUGACGCGCGCACAAGUUUGCCCGCGUUACCGCAACUCCCCGUCACGUCACGAGGCCUCCGCUGCUAAAGCGCUCCUUCUCCCCCGAGCCCCCACCGCCCCGCCUGGCUGCAGCAUGGGCGCGGGGGCGUGGGCGGUGGGCGGCGCUGCGGGCGUGGGCGGCUGUGUGGGCGUGCACAGCCGCCACCACAAUCACAGCCACACCCACAAGACCUAAUGUUGUGGAGGAGGUUCCGGGUCUUGAUGUGGGCCCUUUGGUGGGGGUGGAGCGUGGCGCGGGGGGGCGUGGCCAGACUGCCCUCGGCCGGUACCCC